AAAUGCGAUAAGUAAUGUGAAUUGCAGAAUUCCAUGAAUCAUCGAAUCUUUGAACGCACAUUGCGCCCUCUGGCAUUCCGGGGGGCAUGCCUGUCCGAGCGUCAUUACGCACCCUCAAGCCCGGCUUGUGUGAUGGGCCCCGGCGUCUCGUUCGCGAGACGGGCCCGAAAGGCAGCGGCGGCGUCGACCCGAUGAGCCCGAGCGUAUGGGGACUUCUGUCACACGUUCGCGGUGCGGACCGGCGCCUGCUUGACUUUUCUGAUUAUCCAGGUUGACCUCGGAUCAGGUAGGGAUACCCGCUGAACUUAAGC
rnacentral:misc_RNA from 1 species